GAUGACCAGUGGUGGGACGAUUUUGUCCCUGGCUUUUUCCUCCGGCUGUUCUUCUCUUCGGUUUUUGGGGUGCGAAAAUCCCGGUUUUGUCCAUGCUGGACGCGUGUUGGUAAGGGAAUGAUGCUGAAUUUAUGCGUGUUAGUCAUCUGGGAAAGGAAGAAAGAUGGAAAAGCAGAGCUCUUUCAUUUGCUUCCACAGAUUUCUCGAGCUCUCUCUCAAGCCCGAACCCUAGCCUCCGCAAGCGAAUCAGUUUUUGGUGCCUGGUGGAUUCCGGCUAGCUCCGCAGCGGUUAAACCAUAGAAAUCAUCAUUCAUCGGGUCUUUAUUUCGAUUCCUCGGUGUGCUGGUCAAAAUACCAAACUUUCCAGAUUUUCAGGUUUUUUUUUUGGGGGGAUUUUUUGUUCUGCUGAAAUUACACUUGAAGCCUGCGAAGACCUCUGUGUUUAAGCUGAAGUGGCUAAAGUUAAGAAAGAACUUUUGUGAGUUAAAGUCUUCAUAUUUGAAAGUUGAAUCUCAGCAUUUGAAAGGCUUUGUGAACGUGUCCUCGAUUGUGUAGCAGACCUUCAUAGCAAUUUGGGGAUACGAGAUACGCCAUUGAUUCAGUUGUGAUGCACUACGGGGUGAAGUUUCCGUGCUGGGCGUUGUCUGAUCUGUUGUCGUUUCAGCAAACUUUGGAGGAGAUGCUUAUGACAAGAGGAUAUGAAGAAGUGGAAAGUUGUUUGGAAGCAUGACUAUGUCUGCAAGAGAUUUAUUGAGGAUCCAGAUUGCAUCAUGUUCUUAAUGAGCUUGAAAGAGGAGUUGCUCUUCAUCUGACAAUUGCAUCGCAUGACAAGGUGUGGAUUAGAUAGCAGGAUCUAGUUGGAAGACAAGAUUUUGUGAAAGAAAGGGAGAUGCAAUCCAAGCGACUGCAAAAGAUGUCGACUAUGCUUUGGUUGAUCGAAAAAUAGAAACUGCACCUCUGUAUUAUGAGAGGAAAUGGAAAGCAAUUUGUCUCAGUUUUGGAAUGUACUGGAAUUAAAGAAGCUAACUCAAGCUGCUAUUUCAAAGCUGGAGGAGGCAUUGUUGAUUAAUCCUAGGAAAUAUGAUGCUCUGUGGUGCUGGGAAAUGCUUAAACUGCUUGCGAAUUAUGCACUCCGGACUAGAAUGAGGCAAAGGUUCCAAAAUGUGUUGUACUGCUUCCAAAAGGCUUUCAAUGAGGUACUUCCACUUACAAAUUUGUUA